AACGAACGCUGGCGGCAUGCCUAACACAUGCAAGUCGAACGAGACCUCCGGGUCUAGUGGCGCACGGGUGCGUAACGCGUGGGAAGCUGCCCUUAGGUACGGGAUAACUCCCCGACAGGGGUGCUAAUACCGGAUAAUUUCUUCGGACCAAAGAUUUAUCGCCUUUGGAUGGGCCCGCGUUGGAUUAGCUGGUUGGGAUGGUAAAAGCCUACCAAGGCGAGGAUCCAUAGCUGGUCUGAGAGGAUGAUCAGCCACACUGGGACUGAGACACGGCCCAGACUCUUACGCGAGGCGGCAGUGGGUAAUACUGGAAAAUGGGCGAAAGCCUGAUCCAGCAAUGCUGCGUGAGUGAUGAAGGCCUGAGGGUUGUAAAGCUCGUUUACCCGGGAUGAUAAUGACAGUACCGGGAGAAUAAGCACCGGCUAACUCCGUG
rnacentral:rRNA from 1 species